ensembl:lncRNA
CGGGGUGCGGGCGGUGGGCGCCCGGGCGGCGCGGAGGGGGAGUUGGCAGCUCCUCGACGGAGCGGGAGGGCGCUGCGAAGCGGGGGGACCGGCCGCUGCGAGCCACGGAGGGAUACGCCGGGAAUGAUGUUACAUAUCGUGCGCGUUACGGCUGCCGGGCUGAGAGGGGCCGGGGCUCCAGGCGCACGGAGGAAAGCGGGGGGCGAGGGGAUGCCGGCAGCUUUCAAUGAAAUCUAAUUCAUAAAUUGAACGUGCUCGGACUCAGAAGACUAAUUCAUCCCCUAAAACAAACGCAUCAGUGAUUGCAGGCACCCAAACGUGACGAGCGUCUCAAUAUGCCAAGGAUCCAGAGAAAACAAAUCCAUUCAGCAGCCCGAACCGUAAUUAAAACCGCUGCCAAGAAGAGGGAGCCGCAAGCAGGAUGUUACCAACGCUAUCAACUUGCUGCGGGGCCGGGGCGAUACACACAGAGAACGUCAGCGUUCGGAUAACGCGAGGAACCGCGAUUCCCGGAGGUCGCCGCCUCGGCAGCGCCAGGCUGCUGCGGCCGGACCUGCACGGGAGGGAGCGGCGUGGCGGCCGGGACGGCGGGCAGCGAGCGGGCCGAGCGCCGGGGCCGAGCGGGACCGCUGGGCGCAAACGCACUCCGCCGCCACCCGCGCUGCCGGGCGAACGCAGCCCGCUUCUACUGCCGGCGACUCGUCCGGACGCCGCUAAACGCUCCGGAUACUUCGGAUUAGUCGAUUGCCCGAGGGAGUGCUGCAGUGUGUUUAUUUAAUAGAGAAAGCACAGUACGGCAAAACCGCUUAGCACUGAGGAGCGGCAAACGCGGACGGGGUUUGCGGUGACUGGGGAGGCGGGCGGGGGAGGGUACGCGCGUCUGGAUGGAGCUGGAAGGGCGCCCUGUUGCUCCACACGCGCCGGCAGCCUCCGGGCCCGGGGUGGUUACUGCGCACCUCGGAGGGGGGGAAAAGCGACGGGCACGUGAAACGAGAACCACCUUUCACAAAUAAAUCACUCGUUAACAGCUCUUACUUACAGUCCCUGUCCUAAAUACGCGAUUUCACACUGAUCGAUACGGAAUGAUUAAAUACCAUUCGCCAUAUUUCACGUAAUAAAAACACUUAAUCCUGAUAAUUGGCUUCUGGGAC